rnacentral:rRNA from 1 species
UACGUAGGGGGCUAGCGUUGUUCGGAUUCAUUGGGCGUAAAGGGUGCGUAGGCGGCGCGGUAAGUCGGGUGUGAAAUCUCGGAGCUUAACUCCGAAACUGCAUUCGAUACUGCCGUGCUUGAGGACUGGAGAGGAGACUGGAAUUUACGGUGUAGCGGUGAAAUGCGUAGAUAUCGUAAGGAAGACCAGUGGCGAAGGCGGGUCUCUGGACAGUUCCUGACGCUGAGGCGCGACAGCGUGGGGAGCGAACUGG